CAAAGGAUAACAUCUACUAAUGGAUGCUAUGAUGUCAUUAGAACAUGAUUUUUCUUUGUAUUUAUUUUUACGCAUUGUUGAAGUUUAUUUUGUUUUAGUUUAAGGUUGUGAUGUACUUGGCUUGAAGGAACUGUGAUUCAAUGGUUUGACUAUAAUAUGUUGUUGUGAUGAGUAAUAUGUCUUGUGAUGUUUUAUAUUAAUUGAUGUUGAGAUGAUGCAUGAUU
rnacentral:lncRNA from 1 species